GACAGAGGUGCCGAGCGUUAGGCGGAAUCACUGGGCUUAAAGCGUGUGUAGGCGGGCGGGCAAGUACCUUGUGAAAUCCCACGGCUCAACCGUGGAACGGCUGGGUAUACUGCCUGUCUUGAGCCAACUAGGGGCGAGCGGAACAGACGGUGGAGCGGUGAAAUGCGUAGAUAUCGUCUGGAACGCCAAAGGUGAAAACAGCUCGCCGGGGUUGUGCUGACGCUGAGACACGAAAGCCAGGGGAGCGAACGGG
rnacentral:rRNA from 1 species